UUGGAAUUAGUUGACAGAGAAAUGAGGAUGGAGAAGAGGAAAGAAUAGGGGUUGUGGGACUCUUUAUAGAGAGUUGGGUGGUAUCGUUGUUUACUUAUGAAGCUGUUGUCUUGGAGUAUUAGAAGAUUAGGGAAGUUAGAGAAGAGGGGAAGGAUUAUGAAGCUCAUUUAUGAAAGAAAGGCUAAUGUUGUGCUUCUUCAGGAGACAGAGAAAGUUUCUAUUUCUGAGUUGAUCGAGGAUCAUUCACAGCUGGCUUCCAUUUGCAGAUUCCUCCCCAUCCUUCCAUGCAUCCAUCAGUUUUGAGGUAAGAGCAUUGUAGGGCAAGAGAAAUAUGGAUUUUAUGGUUGUGGGUUCUGAUGGGACUGCUGGGGGUUUACUUUGCAUUUGGGACCCAGACUUUUUUCAGUUAGUGGAUUGUUACAGUAAUACAAGAUUUAUUCUCCUAUCAGGUACUUUGUUGCACACCUUUAACUGUACUAUUUUGAAUGUAUAUGCACCAAAUUAGGUGAGUAGCAGAUGUAAUUUUUGGGACUCCUUGAUGAAGCUAGAAUCUGCAUUCCCAAAUCCAUGGUGAGAGGGUGGGUUGUUUCAGAAGAGAUAAGGGGAUGAUGGAUCUAAAUUCCUUCAUUGAGAGUUGUGAGUUGAACGAUUUACCAUUGCUAGGUAGGAAGUUCACAUGGUGCAAUGCUCAAGAUGGCGAGAGAUGGAGUAAGAUUGAUAGAAUUUUGCUUAAUCCAGAGUGGCUGCUAAAGUUCAAUUUUAAAUUAUGGGGUCUUCCAAGGCUUUUUUCUUAUCAUUGUCGUCUUUUGCUUAUAGAUGAUGAGAGGGAUUGGGGACCUAAACCUUUUAGGUUCAUUAACGCUUGGACUAUCCAUCCAAGUUUUCCCUCAUUAUUGGAAAAGGUUUGGCAGGAAGCUAGGAUUAAUGGGAGAGCUGGAUAUGUCUUGUUCCAAAAGCUAAAACUUUUGAAGGUGGAGCUGAAGAAAUGGAAUUCUAAAGUUUUUGGAAAUCUAUCAACAAAACUCAAAAAGACAGAGGAAGAAUUAGUUGCUCUAGACAUUCUGGCUGAAGGUAGACCUCUGGUUGAGGCUGAGAAAAUUGAAAGAAGAACAGUGAGAAGUGAAGUUUGGAAGCUUAGUAGAAUUGUGGAAUAGCUAUGGCAAUAGAAGUCUAGAGUAAACUGGACAAUUAAUGGGGACAAAAAUACUAAGUUUUUUCAUGUUAUGGCUAUCAGUAGGAGGAGUAGAAAUGCUAUUAAUUCCAUCACAGUUGAAGGUAAGGUUUUUGAGGAGCUAGCUAAGGUAAAGUAUGAGGUCUUACAACACUUCGAAAGACAGUUCUCUGAAAGCUGGGUAAGAAGACCAGUGUUAGGAGGGUUAUUUAAAUCAGUUUAAUCAAACUCUUUAUUUUAUGAUCUUGAAGCUGUGUUCUCUGAAGAUGAAAUAAGGGCAGCUGUUAAGGAGUGCAAUAGUGAUAAGGCUCCUGGCCUUGAUGGGUUUAAUCUCCUCUUUUUUCAAAAAUUCUGGAGGUCAGUUCAUCAUGAGGUCAUGCAUUUUUUGAGGGAUUUUUAUGCCACUAGCAGACUCCCUUAUGGGAUCAACAACUCAUUUAUCACUCUUGUCCCUAAGACUGAUAUUCCUCUUGGUUUGUCUGAUUGUAGACCCAUUAGUUUGGUGGGUAGUUUGUACAAGAUUCUCUUUAAAGUGUUGGCCCAUAGACUCAAGAGAGUUCUUCCUGAAGUUAUUGGAGAAACACAAUCUACUUUCUUGGGGGGAAGAAGUAUAUUGGAUGGGGUGUUUAUCGCUAAUGAAAUAGUUGAUGGCUGGAAAAAAAACUAAAAGGAAAGGUAUGAUUAUCAAACUUGACUUUGAGAAAGCUUAUGAUUCAAUUAAUUGGGAAUUCCUAUUCUCUAUGUUAUAUAAUUUUGGUUUUGGAUUAAAGUGGAUAUCCUGAAUGAGGGAAUGUAUCUCCACAACAAGGUUUUCUAUUUUAGUGAAUGGCUCACCCACAGAGGAGUUUUCACCACAGAAAGGUCUUAGACAAGUUGAUUCAUUAUCUCCUUUCCUCUUCAACAUAGUGGCAGAAGGUUUGAAUAUCUUAAUGAACAGAGCCCAUGCGCAAGGCAUCAUCAAGGGGGUAAAAGUGAGGGUAAAUAAGGUAGUAAUAUCCCAUCUCCAAUUUGACGAUGACUUCAUAAUAUUUUGUGAGGCUGAAAUGGAUCAAAUAGUGCACACAAAGAGGAUCCUACACUGCUUUGAAAUUCUGUUUGGAAUGAGAAUUAAUUUCCACAAGAGUGUGAUGUGUGGAGUUGGUGUAGAUGAGGCAACCUUGGUUUCUUUCGUAGAUACUCUGAAUUGCAAGGUUCAUGGCCUACCACUCAAAUUUUUGGGUCUUCCCUUAGGUGCUAAUCCAGGAAGGAAAUCAUCUUGGAAGCUAGUUUUGGAUAAAGUAAGAUCUAGGUUGGCUGGGUGGAAGAGAAGGCUCCUUUCCUUUGCAGAUAGAUUAACUUUAAUUAAGUCCGUGUUACUAUCUCUCUAUGUACUCUGCCUUCCAAUUUACUAUCUCUCUAUGUUCAAAAUGCCUUCUGGAGUGGUUAGAGAGAUUAAAAGGCUUGAAGUUUCUUUCCUAUGGGGUGGGAAUGGUUUAAAAAGGAAGGUUCAUCUGGUGAAAUGGGCUGAAGUAACCAAAAAUAUGAAUCAGGGUGGUUUGCGAAUUAAGAUAAUUAAGGAUGUCAAUGCAAGCUUAUUGUCUACAUGGUGGUGAAAAUUUGGAUGUGAAGUAAAUGCUCUAUGGAGAAGAUUGUUGUGCAACAAGUACAUGAUUGAAGAGAAUAAUUGGAUCCCACCUGUGAACUCAUCAUUUGGAUACUCUAGAAUUUGGAGAGAUGUUCUUGCCAUUGCAGGUCAUAAUCAACCUCUUGAGGAGUUCUAUUUGGUGCAGUUUCAGAUAAAGGUUGGAAAUGGGUGUAGAAUAAAGUUUUGGCAUAAUAAGUGGGUUAAUGAUAGGUGCCUUAAAGAUAAAUAUCCUAGACUCUUUAGUUUGUCUAAUGACAUGGAGGGCACACUGUCCUUUUUUUCUGCGAGGAAAUCCAGUUUAGAGGAGUGGAACUUUCUUUCAGAAGGGAUUUAUAUGAUUGAAAGAAUGAAGAGGUCACUAGUUCGGCUGCAGGGUUGAGGGAGGCCCCUUCACUUAGUAUUGAUGUAGAAGACUGUGCUGUGUGGAAGGGUUUUAUUGACGGCAGCUUUAAGGUAUUUGAUAUUUAUAGGUUCACUGAUUCUCUUUUGGGCCCUCAUCUCAAAAUUUGAAAGUUUGUUUGGAAUAAGAGUCCUAAAGUUCAAUUCUUUGGUUGGUUGGCAUAGAGGAAUAGAGUUAAAACAAGGGAUCUCCUACAACAUAUUGGUGUCCUUCAUAACAGUGCUUCUAUCUUAUGUGUCUUCUGCAAAACUAAAAAUGAAUCUGCCUCUCAUGUCCUCUUACAUUGUCCAUUUUUCAUGGAAAGUAUGGUCAGAUUUGCUGCUUUGGUGGGGGUGUUUUUGGGUGGUGCCAAGGUCUAUUGAUUGUUUAUUUCACUGGUGGUUAGGUUGGAAUCAUAAGAAAUUGGUUAGGAGUUUGUGGAGGGCCUUACCUUCUAUUGUUCUCUGGUCCAUUUGGAAGUUAAGAAAUGAUUGUCUAUUUAAUGGAGUGCAGCCUAGUGGGUUUGAGUUAUGUGAGCUUAUAAGUUAAGAUUUGCUCUAUGGAUUAAAGCUUCUGCAAAGGGAUUCAUGUACUAUGUCUUGGGUUUAAUCAAUAAUCUAGAUCAGAUAAAUAACUGAUGUUGAGGGAUAUUUGCUGCUAUUUGGUCUAUUUUCUAUUAUGGUGCUAUUUGGUCUGUUUUUGGUAUGUUUAGCUGCUAUCUGCUGUAGAGGUUGUUUAUGAUAUAGUGGGUAGCAUUUUGGGCUGCUAACUCAUACUUGUUUUACUGACUCAUACUUGUUUUGUUGGUGAGUUUGGUCUACUGCUAUUUGGUGAGUUUUGGUUGCUGCUCUUUGGUCUACCACUUCUUGGUUUGGUAGAUGGACUAUUGCAGUGGUACUAUGGCUGCAAAAUGCCAAAAUUGGAGAAGAAGAUAUGGAUGGUCAAAAUUGGCAAAAUUGGCAACUCUUUGGUAUACAUGGAGGCAUAGAUAUGAAUGUGUUUUCAAUGGGUCUCAACCUGACUUUGAAACUCUAUGUGACCUUGUGAAAGUGAGAAUAACUUUGUGGGUAAAGGUUUGUCUCAGGCCUGGCAGCUUCUGUGAAGGAUUUGGUUUAUAAUAUGCAGCAAGUUAAGUUCUGUAUCAGGCUUGGUGGUUGAAGUAUGUAUAGUUUAGUUCUGCAGCAGCAAUGGUGACUGAGCCUGUGUAAGGCCUGGUUUCUGAGGUAUGAUCUGACCUACCAUAUAGGUGAUCGAGCACCAGAUCAAAGCUAGUGGCGUUGACCCGAAUCCUUGUUUUGUCAAGCCAGCUAUUGUGCCUCAUCGCGAGGUUCCAAACCAACAUGUGUUAAGGCUUUUUGGGUGGUUCAAAUUCACCCUUUUGAUAUUGCUAAGUGAAAAGAGUGUUUUAUGAUUUUUGUUAAUACUGUUUUUAAUAAUGAGAUUUAAUUCCCUAACUUGUGUCUUGUCUUGUAUAUGUGUUUUAUGGACAUAAGUGUUUAUGGAUAUAACUAUGCAUAUAAAAGUUUAUUUCUAUUCA